GCAGUACGUGCUGGAAGAGUUCUUGGACAAAAACGACGUGUCGUUGGCCUCGGCCGUGUUUGCUGCCUCUUCUCACAGUUUUCCCAUCGCCAUCAUGCAGGUGGCCAGCAGUUUGCAAAAGGAGGAAUACCUUCUGUGUUUUCAUGAGUUUGGUGUGUUUGUGGACUCGUAU